GUCUUGGUGGCUCAGUUGGUUAGAGCGUUGGUCUCAUAAUAUGAUUCAAUCUGAGAUUGGAGCAAUCCAAAGGUCGUGAGUUCGAGUCUCACUCAGGACA
rnacentral:tRNA from 1 species